rnacentral:rRNA from 1 species
GAUGAACGCUAGCUACAGGCUAAACACAUGCAAGUCGAGGGAACGGCGCACGGGUGAGUAACACGUACCCAACCUGCCCUUUACUCGGGGAUAGCCUUUCGAAAGAAAGAUUAAUACCCGAUAUAAAGGAUGGGGAUUCGUUCCAUUAGGUUGUUGGUGAGUUAACGGUUCACCAAGCCUUCGAUGGAUAGGGGUUCUGAGAGGAACGUCCCCCAUAUUGGAACUUAGCCACGGUCCAAGCUCCUACGGGAGGCAGCAGUGAGGAAUAUUGGUCAAUGGGCGGUAGCCUGAACCAGCCAAGUAGCGUGUAGGAUGAAGGCUUAUGGGUCGUAAACUUCUUUUAUAUAAGAAUAUGUAUUAUAUGAAUAAGAAUCGGCUAACUCCGUGCCAGCAGCCGCUGUAAUAC